rnacentral:rRNA from 1 species
UGAUUCGGCGUGGAUUAGGCAUGCAAGUCGAGCGAUCUCGCAAGAGAUAGCGGCAAAAGGGUGAGUAACGCGUAAGCAAUUUUCCUUCGAAACGGGGAUAGCACUGUGAAAACGGUGGUAAUACCCGAUGUUAUAAGAGUCUCGCAUGGGAUUCUUAUCAAAGACCGGGACCGCAAGGCCGGUCGUUCGGAGAUGAGCUUGCGUACCAUCAGCUAGUUGGUAGGGUAAUGGCCUACCAAGGCUAAGACGGUUAGCUGGACUGAGAGGUUGACCAGCCACAUUGGGACUGAGACACUGCCCAGACUCCUACGGGAGGCUGCAGUCGAGAAUAUUUAGCAAUGGACGAAAGUCUGACUAUGCGACGCCGCGUGCAGGAUGAAGGUCUUCGGAUUGUAAACUGCUUUUAUUAGGGGAGAAACCUGUAUGGUUAAUAGCCAUACAGCUGACGGUACCUGAUGAAUAAGCCACGGCAAACUCUGUGCCAGCAGCCGCGGUAAUACAGAGGUGGCAAGCGUUACUCGGAAUUAUUGGGUGUAAAGGGCAGGUAGGUGGUCUGAUAAGUGAGGGGUGAAAUCCUGCGAUUUAAUCGCAGAACAGCCUUUCAAACUAUCAGACUUGAGAGAAACAGAGGAAGAUGGAAUUCCCGGUGU